AUACUUACUUGGCAGGAAAGAUACCAUGAUCAUGAAGCUGGUUCUCCCAGGUCAAGGCUUAUCCAUUGCGCUCGGGAUGUGCUGGCCCCUGCGAUUUCCCCAAAUGUGGGGAACUUGACCCCACACUAUGUGGUAGUGGGGUCACUGUGUUCUCACUUUCUCUUA